rnacentral:sRNA from 1 species
GCCGGGCGUAGUAUUGGACGCCUGUAAUCCCAGCUACUCUGGAGGCUGAGGCAGGAGAAUCGCUUGAACCCGGGAGAUGGAGGUUGCAGUGAGCUGAGAUCAUGCCACUGCCCUCCAGCCUGGGCAACAGAGCAAGACUCUGUCUCAA